rnacentral:rRNA from 1 species
GAUGAACGCUGGCGGCGUGCUUAACACAUGCAAGUCGAACGAAGCACUUUAUUUGAUUUCCUUCGGGACUGAUUAUUUUGUGACUGAGUGGCGGACGGGUGAGUAACUCGUGGGUAACCUGCCUUGUACAGGGGGAUAACAGUUGGAAACGGCUGCUAAUACCGCAUAAGCGCACAGCAUCGCAUGAUGCAGUGUGAAAAACUCCGGUGGUAUAAGAUGGACCCGCGUUGGAUUAGCUAGUUGGUGAGGUAACGGCCCACCAAGGCGACGAUCCAUAGCCGACCGGAGAGGGGGACCGGCCACAUUGGGACUGAGACACGGCCCAAACUCCUACGGGAGGCAGCAGUGGGGAAUAUUGCACAAUGGGCGAAAGCCUGAUGCAGCGACGCCGCGUGAGCGAAGAAGUAUUUCGGUAUGUAAAGCUCUAUCAGCAGGGAAGAUAAUGACGGUACCUGACUAAGAAGCACCGGCUAAAUACGUG